rnacentral:rRNA from 1 species
CCUACGGGAGGCAGCAGUGGGGAAUAUUGGACAAUGGGGGAAACCCUGAUCCAGCAAUGCCGCGUGAGUGAAGAAGGCCUUAGGGUUGUAAAGCUCUUUCGGCGGGGACGAUGAUGACGGUACCCGCAGAAGAAGCCCCGGCUAACUCCGUGCCAGCAGCCGCGGU